GGCCGCCUGGUGAAAUGGCAUCGCGUCUGACUACGAUCCGGGAAUCGUUUGGACCUUAUCAGGAGAUUGCAGGUUCGACCCCUGCGGUGGUCA